rnacentral:rRNA from 1 species
AGGUUGAACGCUGGCGGCAUGCUUUACACAUGCAAGUCGAACGGCAGCACGGGAGCAAUCCUGGUGGCGAGUGGCGAACGGGUGAGUAAUAUAUCGGAACGUGCCCAGUCGUGGGGGAUAACGUAGAGAAAUUUACGCUAAUACCGCAUACGAUCCAAGGAUGAAAGCGGGGGACCGUAAGGCCUCGCGCGACUGGAGCGGCUGAUAUCAGAUUAGCUUGUUGGUGAGGUAAAAGCUCACCAAGGCGACGAUCUGUAGCUGGUUUGAGAGAACGACCAGCCACACUGGGACUGAGACACGGCCCAGACUCCGUACGGGAGGCAGCAGGUGGGUAAUUUUGGAACAAGUGGGGAAACCCUGAUCCAGCCAUCCCGCGUGUGCG